rnacentral:rRNA from 1 species
UGAAUACGAGACGCUAAGGCGUCGAAGUAGUGUAUGUCAUACUUCCAAGAAAAGCUUGCACUGUCAUAAGUAAAAAAUGCCUGUACCAUAACCGACACAGGUGGGUAGGUAGAGUAUACUAAGGGGCGCGAGAUAACUCUCUCUAAGGAACUCGGCAAAAUAACUCCGUAACUUCGGGAGAAGGAGUACCUUAUUCUAUAAGGUUGCAAUAACAAGAUCCAAGCAACUGUUUAUCAAAAACACAGGUCUCCGCUAAGUCGUAAGACGAUGUAUGGGGGCUGACGCCUGCCCAGUGCCAGAAGGUUAAAGAAGUCGGUUAGCAUUAGCGAAGCUGGUAACUGAAGCCCUGGUGAACGGCGGCCGUAACAAUAACGGUCCUAAGGUAGCGAAAUUCCUUGUCGGGUAAGUUCCGACCCGCACGAAAGGCGUAAUGAUUUGGAUACUGUCUCGGAGAGGGGCUCGGUGAAAUAGACUUGUCUGUGAAGAUGCGGACUACCUGCACCAGGACAGAAAGACCCUAUGAAGCUUUACUGUAACUUGAAAUUGAAAUUGGACUUUAUUCGCGCAGUAUAGGUGGGAGGUGUUGAUUAUAAUCUUGCGGGAUUAUUGGAGCCAUCAGUGAGAUACCACUCUUGUAAUGUUAGAUUUCUAACUUUGAAUCAUUAUCUGGUCAAAGGACAGUUUCAGGCGGGCAGUUUGACUGGGGCGGUCGCCUCCCAAACGGUAACGGAGGCGUACAAAGGUUUCCUCUGAACGGGUAGAAAUCGUAUCUAGAGUGUAAAGGCAUAAGGAAGCUUGACUGUGAGACCUACAAGUCGAACAGGGACGAAAGUCGGUCUUAGUGAUCUGACGGUACUGAGUGGAAAGGCCGUCACUCAACGGAUAAAAGUUACUCUAGGAUAACAGGCUGAUCUCCCCCAAGAGUUCACAUCGACGGGGAGGUUUGGCACCUUGAUGUCGGCUCAUCGCAUCCUGGGGCGGUAGUACGUCCCAAGGGUUGGGCUGUUCGCCCAUGAAAGCGGUACGCGAGCUGGGUUCAGAACGUCGUGAGACAGUUCGGUCCAUAUCCGGUGUAGGCGUUAGAAUAUUGAGAGGAGCCUUCUUUAGUACGAGAGGACCGAGAAGGACAUACCUCUGGUGUACCAGUUAUCGUGCCAACGGUAAACGCUGGGUAGCUAUGUAUGGAGUGGAUAACCGCUGAAAGCAUCUAAGUGGGAAGCCCACCUCAAGAUGAGUAUUCCCAUGGCGUAAGCCAGUAAGGUCACGGGAAGAACACCCGUUGAUAGGCUCUAUGUGGAAGCGCAGUAAUGCGUGAAGCAGAGGAGUACUAAUAGACCGAGGGCUUGAC